CUUCUUCCAUCUGCUCUUCUACAUGAUAGUUCCAACUCUAGAGAAUUUUGGCUGAAAUAAUUGGCAGUUUUCUUAAAGAGCAAAUGCCUUUCUGCUUGUUCAAGUCUGUUUUACAAUAUAGACGACAGAGUAUCUUCCGUGUUUUUUGUGGUGUCAUGACAUAUCAGUUCAUCCAUAUGCAUUACCCUCGUUAUCUUGUUUCCUGCUGGUAGUCUUCCCACCUUAAUAAAUGUGCAUUGCUGCUGACCGCUCUCUCCAUCUCGCUCUCCGAGUCGGAUGUGGCUGAAAGGUGCUUUAGUAGCCUAAACUUAGGUUGCUGACAGUUUAUUCAUAUGCGGUGAUGCACUCUCUCCUCACCAUUUUUAUUAGAUAGACAGAAAUCCAUUAGAUAGGAAUCGGCAUUUAAUGAAAUCAGUGGUUCCAGUGCAAAUGAAAGAAAAGAAAAUGGAAUGGCGUUAUAAUCAGAUCUUUCAUAUGCAGAUAUGCCAUUUCCUGAUCAGUGACUUCACUCUCUCCUCUCCAUUUUUCAUUUGAUAACUAGUACUACAUUAGUCUGUCUUCUUAAAUGUACAACUCCUCUAUUGAUCUACUAAUGACCCAUCUAUGUGAAGUUGUAUCACAGAUAGUUCAACUUGCUAUUUUUCUCAGGGAGAUUAUAAAUUACAUGGGAAGAAACGAAAACGGGAAAUUGGAGGUAAAAAAGAUGUCCAUGCUAAUAAACCUGCUAAAACAACGGAAAAAGUAGAGAACAAGGUGCGCAUAUUCCAGCUAUACAUCCGUUUUGGUCAUUCGAUGUUGUUUUAGAUGGUAGAAUGUGCUAGUUAUACUAAUACAAUUCAAAUAUUUGCAGAGAACAAGUGCGAAAAUAAAUUAUAAUGCUUUGCAGAAGCUGGUUGAUGAAUUGGUAUACCUUUCUACUGCGCUCUCCUUGUGCUUUAGCUCACUUGUCCAGUAUUGUGCUUAAUCCACCUAUUGUUUUGUCAUAGGAUCUGUAAAAUGGAUAAGCUAGUUUCAUUUCAGCCAUUUUGCAAGCAAUUUGUACUUACUUGGUUCUUUGAAUUGUGUUGCAGAAGCAUGUUCCUGUAGAGGCAGAGGUAGGAGGACCGGAACCUAAGGCCUGCGCAACUGGUGAUUCAGCUGAAAACCUGGAAAAUGGAUUCCACGAGCUUGAACAGGAGAAUGAAUAUGUGGACGAU
rnacentral:lncRNA from 1 species